ACGUAGGAGGCAAACGUUAUCCGGAUUUACUGGGCGUAAAGCGCGUGUAGGUGGUUCUGUAAGUAGGGCGUGAAAGCUCCUGGCUCAACUGGGAGAGGCCGUUCUAAACUGCAGAGCUAGAGGAUGGUAGAGGGAGGUGGAAUUCCGGGUGUAGCGGGGGAGUGCCCAGAUAUCCGGAGGAACCCCAGUGGCGAAAGCAGCCGCCUGGACUAGUCGUGACACUCAUACGCGAAAGCGAGGGUAACAAACGG
rnacentral:rRNA from 1 species